rnacentral:rRNA from 1 species
ACUCGAGUGGCGAACGGGUGAGUAACACGUGGGUGAUCUGCCCUGCACUUCGGGAUAAGCUUGGGAAACUGGGUCUAAUACCGGAUAGGAGCCAUCUUUAGUGUGGUGGUUGGAAAGUUUCGGCGGUUGGGGAUGGACUCGCGGCUUAUCAGCUUGUUGGUGGGGUAGUGGCUUACCAAGGCUUUGACGGGUAGCCGGCCUGAGAGGGUGACCGGCCACAUUGGGACUGAGAUACGGCCCAG